rnacentral:rRNA from 1 species
UACGUAGGUGGCAAGCGUUGUCCGGAUUUACUGGGCGUAAAGAGCGCGCAGGCGGUCGUUCAAGUCGCGUGUGAAAGCCCCCGGCUCAACUGGGGAGGGUCACGCGAUACUGAUCGACUCGAAGGCAGGAGAGGGUAGUGGAAUUCCCGGUGUAGUGGUGAAAUUCGUAGAUAUUCGGCGGAACACCAGUGGCGAAGGCGACUCACUGGCCCGAUACUGACGCUGAGGCGCGAAAGCGUGGGGAGCAAACAGG